rnacentral:rRNA from 1 species
GUUGGAAAUGGGGGCAGGCUGAUGCAGCCAUGCCGCGUGAGUGAUGAAGGCCUUCGGGUUGUAAAGCUCUUUUUUCCGGGAAGAUAAUGACGGUACCCCAAGAAUAAGCCCCGGCUAACUUCGUGCCAGCACCCGCGGUAAUAAAAAAUGGCCCCCGGCCGUAGUAUUAAUCCAGUUGGUCUCGGGUGAUGGGGUUUGCGUCGAGGUUGUUGAGUUUAAGGGGACGUGGUGGGCGGGGAGGCGGCGGGUGAUGGUGAGCGUGGUCUGGGGGAGGCUGUAGAUAGAAAAGGAUCUAGCUCUGUGGCGAUCUUGCC